rnacentral:rRNA from 1 species
AGAGUUUGAUCAUGGCUCAGAUUGAACGCUGGCGGCAGGCUUAACACAUGCAAGUCGAGCGGGGAAGGGUAGCUUGCUACCUAACCUAGCGGCGGACGGGUGAGUAAUGCUUAGGAAUCUGCCAUUUAGUGGGGGACAACAUUCCGAAAGGAAUGCUAAUACCGCAUACGUCCUACGGGAGAAAGCAGGGGAUCUUCGGACCUUGCGCUAAAUGAUGAGCCUAAGUCGGAUUAGCUAGUUGGUGGGGUAAAGGCCUACCAAGGCGACGAUCUGUAGCGGGUCUGAGAGGAUGAUCCGCCACACUGGGACUGAGACACGGCCCAGACUCCUACGGGAGGCAGCAGUGGGGAAUAUUGGACAAUGGGCGGAAGCCUGAUCCAGCCAUGCCGCGUGUGUGAAGAAGGCCUUAUGGUUGUAAAGCACUUUAAGCGAGGAGGAGGCUACUUAGAUUAAUACUCUAGGAUAGUGGACGUUACUCGCAGAAUAAGCACCGGCUAACUCUGUGCCAGCAGCCGCGGUAAUACAGAGGGUGCGAGCGUUAAUCGGAUUUACUGGGCGUAAAGCGUGCGUAGGCGGCUGAUUAAGUCGGAUGUGAAAUCCCUGAGCUUAACUUAGGAAUUGCAUUCGAUACUGGUCAGCUAGAGUAUGGGAGAGGAUGGUAGAAUUCCAGGUGUAGCGGUGAAAUGCGUAGAGAUCUGGAGGAAUACCGAUGGCGAAGGCAGCCAUCUGGCCUAAUACUGACGCUGAGGUACGAAAGCAUGGGGAGCAAACAGGAUUAGAUACCCUGGUAGUCCAUGCCGUAAACGAUGUCUACUAGCCGUUGGGGCCUUUGAGGCUUUAGUGGCGCAGCUAACGCGAUAAGUAGACCGCCUGGGGAGUACGGUCGCAAGACUAAAACUCAAAUGAAUUGACGGGGGCCCGCACAAGCGGUGGAGCAUGUGGUUUAAUUCGAUGCAACGCGAAGAACCUUACCUGGUCUUGACAUAGUAAGAACUUUCCAGAGAUGGAUUGGUGCCUUCGGGAACUUACAUACAGGUGCUGCAUGGCUGUCGUCAGCUCGUGUCGUGAGAUGUUGGGUUAAGUCCCGCAACGAGCGCAACCCUUUUCCUUAUUUGCCAGCGGGUUAAGCCGGGAACUUUAAGGAUACUGCCAGUGACAAACUGGAGGAAGGCGGGGACGACGUCAAGUCAUCAUGGCCCUUACG